rnacentral:rRNA from 1 species
UGCCAGCAGCCGCGGUAAUACGGAGGGUGCAAGCGUUGUUCGGAUUCACUGGGCGUAAAGGGCGUCUAGGCGGUUUAUUAAGCGUGGGGUGAAAUCCCAGAGCUCAACUCUGGAACUGCUUUACGAACUGGUAGACUUGAGUUGGUCAGGGGCAGGCAGAAUUCCCGGUGUAGAGGUGAUAUUCGUAGAUAUCGGGAGGAACGCCGGCGGCGAAAGCGGCCUGCUGGGACCAUACUGACGCUGAAGCGCGAAAGCGUAGGUAGCAAACAGGAUUAGAUA